AGUGAACGCUGGCGGUAGGCCUAACACAUGCAAGUCGAACGGCAGCACAGUAGGAGCUUGCUCUUACGGGUGGCGAGUGGCGGACGGGUGAGGAAUACAUCGGAAUCUACUUUUUCGUGGGGGAUAACGUAGGGAAACUUACGCUAAUACCGCAUACGACCUACGGGUGAAAGCAGGGGAUCUACGGACCUUGCGCGAUUGAAUGAGCCGAUGUCGGAUUAGCUAGUUGGCGGGGUAAAGGCCCACCAAGGCGACGAUCCGUAGCUGGUCUGAGAGGAUGAUCAGCCACACUGGAACUGAGACACGGUCCAGACUCCUACGGGAGGCAGCAGUGGGGAAUAUUGGACAAUGGGCGCAAGCCUGAUCCAGCCAUACCGCGUGGGUGAAGAAGGCCUUCGGGUUGUAAAGCCCUUUUGUUGGGAAAGAAAAGCAGCAGGUUAAUACCCCGCUGUUCUGACGGUACCCAAAGAAUAAGCACCGGCUAACUUCGUG
rnacentral:rRNA from 1 species